rnacentral:SRP_RNA from 1 species
GCUGGGUGUGGUGGCACACACCUGUAAUUCCAGCUACUUGGGAGGCUGAGGCAGGAGAAUUGCUUGAACCCAGGAGCUGGAGGUUGCAGUGAGCUGAGAUUGCACCACUGCACUCCAGCCUGGGUGACAGAGUGAGACCCUGUCUCCA